UUUGCUUUCAUUGUUCACCAAAGAUUACAGCAGAGGUUAAACUUUUUUGCAGGAUCUUCAAUGAGAUGUUCUUGUUACGCUUGGCUUCUGAGCUAC